rnacentral:tRNA from 1 species
AAAUCCGUCGAAUUUUAAAUCGUUGAGGGUUCAAGUCCCUCUAUCCCCC